GAAAUGCGAUAAUUAAUGUGAAUUGCAGAAUUCAGUGAAUCAUCGAGUCUUUGAACGCACAUUGCGCCCCCUGGUAUUCCGGGGGGCAUGCCUGUCCGAGCGUCAUUGCUGCCCUCAAGCACGGCAUGUGUGUUGGGCUUCCGUCCCUGGCAACGGGGACGGGCCCAAAAGGCAGUGGCGGCACCAUGUCUGGUCCUCGAGCGUAUGGGGCUUUGUCACCCGCUCCCGUAGGUCCAGCUGGCAGCUAGCCUCGCAACCAAUCUUUUUAACCAGGUUGACCUCGGAUCAGGUAGGGAUACCCGCUGAACUUAAGC
rnacentral:misc_RNA from 1 species